CGGGCAGGUCGACCUGCCCGAGCAGGAGAGCUUGCUUCCCGGGGACGACCCCG
rfam:Dichanthelium oligosanthes cultivar Kellogg 1175 unplaced genomic scaffold Do_version_2_scaffold370, whole genome shotgun sequence.